rnacentral:tRNA from 1 species
GGAUUGUAGCUCAGUGGCAGAGUACUUACCUGCCAUGUGUGAGGCACUGGGUUCGAUUCUCGGCACCA